rnacentral:rRNA from 1 species
UACGUAGGGUGCGAGCGUUGUCCGGAAUUACUGGGCGUAAAGAGCUCGUAGGUGGUUUGUCGCGUUGUCCGUGAAAACUCACAGCUUAACUGUGGGCGUGCGGGCGAUACGGGCAGACUGGAGUACUGCAGGGGAGACUGGAAUUCCUGGUGUAGCGGUGGAAUGCGCAGAUAUCAGGAGGAACACCGGUGGCGGAAGGCGGGUCUCUGGGCAGUAACUGACGCUGAGGAGCGGAAAGCGUGGGGAGCGAACAGG